UUCUGUGGAUAAGCAAAGAAAGCUGUUUCUUGAGAUAGGAUCUACUCCUCCUGAAAAUACUGGAAA
rnacentral:pre_miRNA from 1 species